rnacentral:rRNA from 1 species
AUGGAUUUCGACGAGAACGGCCUAGCGGACACAUUGAUCGUCUCGGUCGUCAUCAACUUCAUGCUGCAUGGCUUCAAAUCGUAUGCCGGCACCCACAUCACCCUUGAAAUCCUCGACGAGACCGGAGAGCACACCGUCUUCCACAAGGAGAGCAGCCGGGACACGAUAGGUAAACAAACCAAGGGUAGCUUUAUCCUGUGCGUGAGGAGGAGGGAGCUGGAGGCAUCCUCGUGCGUGUCUGCCAGCUACGACAAAUUCACCGUCAGAUGCACUCUGAAGAAGAUGCAGCAGGCAACAAAGCGGCGGUGCCUCUUUGGAAGCUUGCGCAAAUCCAACGCCGUAUUGGAGCCGCCGAAGGUCGCCAUGGUUGGCUCCCACACGCUCACCGUGCGCAGCGUCUCCGAGCUCAGUGCGACGCUGAGGAACGGGGAGUGCAUCUACUCCACGCACUUCGCUGUUGGCGGGAGCACAUGGUACCUCAAAUUCUGCCCAAGAUGGGGCAUCCUGUGGCUCGUCUUCGCAAGCAAGGGGGACGAGAUGACACCGACAACGGCGGAGUUCAGCUUCGAGUUCGAGGGGCUGGUGAACUUGGAGUCCCAGAAGACGAGGCACACGUUUGACCGUGACAACGAUGACUUCUACUACCAUCUGAAGUACACCGGAACAUCGCCCACGCAGGACGACCGCCUCGUUGUUCGCUGCUGCCUCGCCGUUGUCACGCCGGAGGAAGUUCGGACCACCAUCCCAACGUGCAGCACCGAAUCAGUGCUAACUCCACUGCUCAGCGCCAUGCAUUGCUAG